rnacentral:rRNA from 1 species
GACGAACGCUGGCGGCGUGCCUAAUACAUGCAAGUUGAGCGCUGAAGGUUGGUACUUGUACCAACUGGAUGAGCAGCGAACGGGUGAGUAACGCGUGGGGAAUCUGCCUUUGAGCGGGGGACAACAUUUGGAAACGAAUGCUAAUACCGCAUAAAAACUUUAAACACAAGCUUUAAGUUUGAAAGAUGCAAUUGCAUCACUCAAAGAUGAUCCCGCGUUGUAUUAGCUAGUUGGUGAGGCAAAGGCUCACCAAGGGGAUGAUACAUAGCCGACCUGAGAGGGAGAUCGGCCACAUUGGGACUGAGACACGGCCCAAACUCCUACGGGAGGCAGCAGUAGGGAAUCUUCGGCAAUGGACGAAAGUCUGACCGAGCAACGCCGCGUGAGUGAAGAAGGUUUUCGGAUCGUAAAACUCUGUUGGUAGAGAAGAACGUUGGUGAGAGUGGAAAGCUCAUCAAGUGACGGUAACUACCCAGAAAGGGACGGCUAACUACGUGCCAGCCGCCGCCGUAA